rnacentral:lncRNA from 1 species
AAAGGCGAUAGUGAAAACUCUUGUAAAGCAAAACGUACUGACCUGAUGAUUUAUGAAAUUCCAACCUCUUCUGGAUCCCUCCUAAAUGCAGAGACAGAUGCAUGCUAUCAAAGGAACCACAGAACAAAUCAGAGGGUCGUCCCUGAGUGCCGACGGUCUGUCUCUCGUUUCAAACUCAGAUUAAAGCCCCCUCCCCCCCUCCACGAGGAUCAGGGGCCUCAGUAGCACCCGCCGCUCCGGGACCCCUGGUUUCAACUGCGUGGGAGCUGGACCGAGUCACACACCAAACGGCAACCAACCGCAACCACAACCGCUGCUAUCCGCUGCCUGCUGCGCAGUCACUGGAAAAGCCUGUCUCGCCCGGGCCCGGGCCCCGUCCUCGUUAGCUAGCUCAAGGUUGAGUAUCUCAGUUAAGCUCCCUCAACUUUCAGAUGAAAUGGUAUCAUCAUGAGCCACAUGACUUGAAUGUGGACCAGAGUGACAUUUGAC